rnacentral:rRNA from 1 species
UACGUAGGGGGCAAGCGUUGUCCGGAAUCAUUGGGCGUAAAGCGCGCGUAGGCGGCCCGAUAAGUCCGCUGUGAAAGUCAACGGCUCAACUGUUGAAUGCCGGUGGAUACUGUCGGGCUAGAGUCCGGAAGAGGCAAGUGGAAUUCCUGGUGUAGCGGUGGAAUGCGCAGAUAUCAGGAGGAACACCUAUAGCGAAGGCAGCUUGCUGGGACGGUACUGACGCUAAGGCGCGAAAGCGUGGGGAGCGAACAGG